ensembl:lncRNA
GCAGAAUGGAGUACCGUGAUUAAUGGACAGUCCAGCAUGCAUCAGCUAUGUAGCCAAGUGAUCAGUGUCGAGGGGGAAGCUAUACUGGCGAGUAUUAUCCAGGUUAAAAAAACUGGCUGGCUGUGCAGAAGGUUCUAGGAUUACAGGCCACACCAACACAGACACCAGAGAGUCAGAGUCCUACAGUUUCACCCUCCUGAACAGACCUCAGGCCUCUGUGCUGGGUUGGUGGGCUGUACCCUCAGAAGGCACAGGCUGUGCCGAUCCAUCCGUGUGCUUAGUGACAUAUGGCCACCUCACUGGCAAGAAGCCGCUGUGAUAAAGAUGAACACCUACGGUGAUGUUGGCAGGUCACCACUCAUGUGCGUCAUCCAUAUUAGCUUCAGAUUGCUGGAGUGAGUACUGAUGUCCCCACCCCACUGUCAUCCACCCCCUGAGGCAACCCUGAUCCACCCUCUCCACUGUCAUCCACCUCUUCCUUCAUUUAGCACUCAGCUGCCACCAACACCUCAUGAUCCACCUCCCAAUCUCAAUAACAAUGGUCUUGAACUACCCUGACGGAAGGAGCUCAGCAGGCCUAAUCAAUUCAUUGCGGAUGCUUCAAAUAGGCUAGAUUUAGAUUACCUGGUGCAACUGAUGGAAUAGUCACAAAAGUGCAAAUCCCAUCCAUCUGGCACUCUAGGUCUUUGUGUAGAUCUAUCCAGUCCUAU